UACAGAGGUCUCAAGCGUUGUUCGGAUUCAUUGGGCGUAAAGGGUGCGUAGGCGGCGCGGUAAGUCGGGUGUGAAAUCUCGGGGCUUAACUCCGAAACUGCAUUCGAUACUGCCGUGCUUGAGGACUGGAGAGGAGACUGGAAUUUACGGUGUAGCGGUGAAAUGCGUAGAUAUCGUAAGGAAGACCAGUGGCGAAGGCGGGUCUCUGGACAGUUCCUGACGCUGAGGCACGAAGGCCAGGGGAGCAAACGGA
rnacentral:rRNA from 1 species